rnacentral:rRNA from 1 species
GGACUACUGGGGUAUCUAAUCCCGUUCGCUCCCCCAGCUUUCGCGCCUCAGCGUCAAGAGUGCCCCAGGAGACCGCCUUCGCCACUGGUGUUCCUACCGAUAUCUACGCAUUUCACCGCUACACCGGUAAUUCCAUCUCCCCCUAGCACCUUCAAGACCGCCAGUAUCCACCGACCCUCCGGGGUUGAGCCCCGGGCUUUCACAGCGGACUUGGCGACCCGCCUACGCGCGCUUUACGCCCAGUAACUUCGGACAACGCUCGCCCCCUCCGUAUUACCGCGGCUGCUGGCAC